rnacentral:lncRNA from 10 species
GCUGCUCUCGGGGUUGGAGGGGAGGUUCCUAGGUCAAUGGAGUUGUGUACCUAGGAGGAUUAUGGCUGCCUCUGCUGAGUCAUGCAGAUUGUCAGGAAGUGUGAGAAAGCCAGCAGUCACCGGCCUCACCCAGCCACCCUGCCGCCAUUAACAGCACUAGGCAGGCAGUGCGCAGAGCUGAGAACUUGCCCCAGGUUACCCGCCUCCCAGCUGCUAAACAAAAGGGAGGCUUUUCAGCUGGUUCAAAUUGUUACAAAGUUCAGCUAGAGAUUUGCUUUUACCUGCGGCGUUUUCCCCAUACCACUGGCUGCCCUCCCGAAGAAUUCCUGUGAUGCCAGGCAGGAAUGGCCUGGUUGGAGACCAGCUAGCUCCCAGGGCCUUUCCCGCUGCUUCCUCUACCCCUGUAUUUCGCUGGGCUCUCUAAAUGGAUUCAGCUCCAGAGGAGGAAAACCUUGAGACCCUGAGACUUUCAGAAACUUAUUCACAGUUACCAAAGCUGGCACACGGAUGGAGCUGAAGGCCAUUAUCCUUAGCAAACCAACACAGGAACAGAGAACCAAAUACCGCAUGUUCUCACUUAUACGUGGCAGCUAAAUGAUGAGAACACAUGAACACAUAGAGGAAAACAACACACACUGGGACCUUUUGGAGGAUGGAGGAUGUGAGAAGGGAGAGGAUCAGGAAAAAUAACUCCGACGGGUACUAGGCUUACUAUCUGGGUAAUGAAAUAAUCUGUAUAACAAGUUUACAUAUGUAACCAACCUGCACUUGUGCCC